rnacentral:rRNA from 1 species
UGCAAGUCGAGCGAACAGAAGGGAGCUUGCUCCCGGAUGUUAGCGGCGGACGGGUGAGUAACACGUGGGUAACCUGCCUGUAAGACUGGGAUAACUCCGGGAAACCGGAGCUAAUACCGGAUAGUUCCUUGAACCGCAUGGUUCAAGGAUGAAAGACGGUUUCGGCUGUCACUUACAGAUGGACCCGCGGCGCAUUAGCUAGUUGGUGGGGUAAUGGCUCACCAAGGCGACGAUGCGUAGCCGACCUGAGAGGGUGAUCGGCCACACUGGGACUGAGACACGGCCCAGACUCCUACGGGAGGCAGCAGUAGGGAAUCUUCCGCAAUGGACGAAAGUCUGACGGAGCAACGCCGCGUGAGUGAUGAAGGUUUUCGGAUCGUAAAGCUCUGUUGUUAGGGAAGAACAAGUGCGAGAGUAACUGCUCGCACCUUGACGGUACCUAACCAGAAAGCCACGGCUAACUACGUGCCAGCAGCCGCGGUAAUACGUAGGUGGCAAGCGUUGUCCGGAAUUAUUGGGCGUAAAGGGCUCGCAGGCGGUUUCUUAAGUCUGAUGUGAAAGCCCCCGGCUCAACCGGGGAGGGUCAUUGGAAACUGGGAAACUUGAGUGCAGAAGAGGAGAGUGGAAUUCCACGUGUAGCGGUGAAAUGCGUAGAGAUGUGGAGGAACACCAGUGGCGAAGGCGACUCUCUGGUCUGUAACUGACGCUGAGGAGCGAAAGCGUGGGGAGCGAACAGGAUUAGAUACCCUGGUAGUCCACGCCGUAAACGAUGAGUGCUAAGUGUUAGGGGGUUUCCGCCCCUUAGUGCUGCAGCUAACGCAUUAAGCACUCCGCCUGGGGAGUACGGUCGCAAGACUGAAACUCAAAGGAAUUGACGGGGGCCCGCACAAGCGGUGGAGCAUGUGGUUUAAUUCGAAGCAACGCGAAGAACCUUACCAGGUCUUGACAUCCUCUGACAACCCUAGAGAUAGGGCUUUCCCUUCGGGGACAGAGUGACAGGUGGUGCAUGGUUGUCGUCAGCUCGUGUCGUGAGAUGUUGGGUUAAGUCCCGCAACGAGCGCAACCCUUGAUCUUAGUUGCCAGCAUUUAGUUGGGCACUCUAAGGUGACUGCCGGUGACAAACCGGAGGAAG